CCUACGGGUGGCAGCAGUGGGGAAUAUUGGGCAAUGGAGGCAACUCUGACCCAGCAACGCAGCGUGAAGGAAGAAGGCCUUAGGGUUGUAAACUUAUGUUGUAAAGGAAGAAAAGAAUGACGGUACUUUACAAGAAAGCCUCGGCUAACUAUGUGCCAGAAGCCGCGGUAAGACAUAGGGGGCAAGCGUUGUUCGGAUUUUCUGGGCGUAAAGGGAGCGUAGGCGGUAGGUUAAGUUAAGAGUGAAAGCCUUGGGCUCAACCCAAGAAAUGCUCUUAAUACUGGUUUUCUAGAGUGUGGUAGAGGUAGGUGGAAUUCCUGGUGUAGCGGUGUAAUGCGUAGAGAUUAGGAGGAACAUCGGGGGCGAAGGCGGCUUACUGGACCAUAACUGACGCUGAGGCUCGAAAGCGUGGGGAGCAAACAGGAUUAGAUACCCUGGUAGUC
rnacentral:rRNA from 1 species